GUGUUUGUAUUUAGCUAGUGCUUCCACUUAAGCGUGGUGCUUGAAGAGCACUUCAACUUCUACUCAAGUCACUUUUUUGAUAGAGCAAUUUUACAUUUGCUCA